rnacentral:rRNA from 1 species
CCUACGGGCGGCAGCAGUGGGGAAUAUUGGACAAUGGGGGCAACCCUGAUCCAGCCAUGCCGCGUGUGUGAAGAAGGCCCUCGGGUUGUAAAGCACUUUCAGUGAGGAAGAACGCCUGGUGGUUAAUACCCAUCAGGAAAGACAUCACUCACAGAAGAAGCACCGGCUAACUCCGUGCCAGCAGCCGCGGUAAUACGGAGGGUGCGAGCGUUAAUCGGAAUUACUGGGCGUAAAGCGCGCGUAGGUGGCUUGAUAAGCCGGUUGUGAAAGCCCCGGGCUCAACCUGGGAACGGCAUCCGGAACUGUCAAGUUAGAGUGCAGGAGAGGAAGGUAGAAUUCCCGGUGUAGCGGUGAAAUGCGUAGAGAUCGGGAGGAAUACCAGUGGCGAAGGCGGCCUUCUGGACUGACACUGACACUGAGGUGCGAAAGCGUGGGUAGCAAACAGGAUUAGAUACCCCAGUAGUC